CUCGUAGGCGGUCUGUCACGUCGGAUGUGAAAACUCGGGGCUCAACCCCGAGCCUGCAUUCGAUACGGGCAGACUAGAGUUCGGUAGGGGAGACUGGAAUUCCUGGUGUAGCGGUGAAAUGCGCAGAUAUCAGGAGGAACACCGGUGGCGAAGGCGGGUCUCUGGGCCGAUACUGACGCUGAGGAGCGAAAGCGUGGGGAGCGAACAGGAUUAGAUACCCUGGUAGUCCACGCCGUAAACGUUGGGCGCUAGGUGUGGGGGACUUUCCACGUCCUCUGUGCCGCAGCUAACGCAUUAAGCGCCCCGCCUGGGGAGUACGGCCGCAAGGCUAAA
rnacentral:rRNA from 1 species